rnacentral:lncRNA from 1 species
GCUGGGGCCGCUGUUUAUGCUCUGCGGGGCGGCUCGGUGGAGUGUGAGCAGGCCUGCAGGAGCCCUGCCUGACCCCUGGCCUCCACCCCACCCCCCAGCACCACAGAGGUCGAAGGGCUGCCAAACAGAUGCUCCGAGCUGCUCCUGGCCAGUGUCCUGCAGUCCACGCAGCAGGCAGCCUCUCUUGCCUGAGUUGUGGUGAAAGUGAAAUGGAAAACCAACAGCUCUUGACACCACUGAGCCUCCUGUGACUGUUCUGUUUUCACCUAGAGGAAAGCGAAGCGCCCCUAUGUCAGUGCAGCUUGAGAGGGCACAGGACAGUGGCAGCACAAAUGCUUUUCCUGUGAUUCUUCUGCAAUUGUCAUCACCUUGCAAAAAGUGCUUGAGUGAGGAAAAAGUAUGUAUGUCCCACUCGAUGGGACUACUGUAUUUGCACAAAGAUACAGACCGCUGGCCGAAGAAAAAUGAGAGAUGACAUGCUGAAUCCCUUUAAUGGGAACUUCUGGGAGUCUAAUUCCAGUCUUCUGCUUAGCAAGCCACAGAGGCCUGCCUGACAUGAAGAAGUCAUGAGCAAACACUGAAGCAAUUUUAAGGGUCUGUUGUACCAGAAUCCUAAGGCAUUCCAUCCUAGAGGCCUGGGAGCAGACCUUGCCCACCCUGAAAAUACCUUCCGUGGUAGGUGACUCAAAGAGCAGUCAUUUUUAGCAGUUCCAGCUUGAUGUUUGUGUGUGUGCAUUCACAUAGACAUACAGGUGCACGUGAGUGUGUGUAUGGGCUUACAUGCAUGUUUGUGCAUGCAUUUGUGUGAGUACCUAUAUGCUUGUGUGUGACUGUGUGCAUUCACAUGUGCAUGUAUAUGUGAAUAUGUGUAUAGGCUUAUGCAUGUAUGUGUUUGUGUGAGUGUGCAUAUUGUGCCUUCCACACGUAUGCACAAAGUCCUGUAGCCUCCAAUUUCUGAAGAAGAACUAUCUCCAAGACCCCUUUUCCCCCCUUAAUACUGGGGAGUGAACCCAAACAGUCUGGACUCAAACUUGCAAUCCUCCUUCCUCGCCUGCUGGAGUACUGGGAUCUUAGGCGUGCACUACCAUGCCCUGCAAGACUUUCGUUUUGACUGUGUUAUGUUCUUGGUAGUCAAGGGACAUCAUGGGCCCUGAGAGCAUAGGGUGGCUCUUGGUGCACAGGCCAUGGCAGCUGCCCUGGAGAGGGCUGCUCAGUCCUCAUAGACUUCCCUGACCUGCUUCUCCGGGUCCCUGGAGGACUCAGCCUCAGGAAGGUGGCUCUGGUGCGGACACAAUGGGUCUACUCAUGCAGUAUGAGGGCUCGGGCUUUCUGCCGCAUCAUUCUGUUAACCUCAAACCCAGAGAGAACAACAAGAAAAACUGCUUGAAUGGUAAAAUGAUGGAUUUUGAAUCAUUAUGUUUUUGUUGUAUUUUUGAAUGAACAUUCAAAUUCAUCUCUGGGAACUGUUGAACAGCAAAUGAACAAAGCCUGUAACACUCCUAAUCUUUCUCCUUAAUAUGUGCACCAGAGGGUGCUAUGCUGAGUCUGACCGGGAAUAUUAACCAUUCCAAAAUACAUUUAGGCUUCAUUUUUUUUUGAAAAAAAGGGCAAAAAUACCUUACUCUAGAUUUCUUCUUCCUUCCAGAAGAAAAAACAUGACACCGUUUUAAGCCGCAGCAGUGGGGGGAAAACAUGUGAAAUACGUGAUGUGGUGUUUUUACCAACUGUCUAAAUAAAA